UCUACGGAGGAAAGGGGGGGAUCGCAAGACCUCCCGCUACAGGGGCGGCCGAUGGCAGAUUAGCUAGUUGGUGGGGUAAAGGCCUACCAAGGCGACGAUCUGUAGCUGGUCUGAGAGGACGACCAGCCACACUGGGACUGAGACACGGCCCAGACUCCUACGGGAGGCAGCAGUGGGGAAUUUUGGACAAUGGGGGAAACCCUGAUCCAGCAAUGCCGCGUGUGUGAAGAAGGCCUUCGGGUUGUAAAGCACUUUUGUCCGGAAAGAAAUCCUUCGAGUUAAUACCUUGGGGGGAUGACGGUACCGGAAGAAUAAGCACCGGCUAACUACGUGCCAGCAGCCGCGGUAAUACGUAGGGUGCAAGCGUUAAUCGGAAUUACUGGGCGUAAAGCGUGCGCAGGCGGUCCGCUAAGACAGAUGUGAAAUCCCCGGGCUUAACCUGGGAACUGCAUUUGUGACUGGCGGGCUAGAGUAUGGCAGAGGGGGGUAGAAUUCCACGUGUAGCAGUGAAAUGCGUAGAGAUGUGGAGGAAUACCGAUGGCGAAGGCAGCCCCCUGGGCCAAUACUGACGCUCAGCA
rnacentral:rRNA from 1 species